rnacentral:sRNA from 1 species
GCCGGGCGCAGUGGCCCACGCCUGUAAUCCCAGCGGCUGGGGAGGCUGAGGCAGGAGGAUCUCGAGUUCAAAGCCAGCCUCAGCAAUGGUGAGGCGCUAAGCGACUCAGGGAGAUGUUGUCUCUA